GUAUGUUUGAUCGAUCUUGUGCCAAUGCUUGAUGACAUCUCAAGAAUUAUUGGGAUUAUUCCACUUUCAAUAGCAAGACGAAAGUAUGAUGACUCUAUUAAAUUAGGAUGAUUUGAGUGGUUCCUUUCAAUUAGUUCUUAAUGAACUCACGUCUCGAUUUAGAUUUCUAUUGCAAAGAUAAAUUACACGUUAUAUGACAUUUCACCUACAAAUCCCUUUUCAUCACGGUAUGCUUAUAGAUGUUCCACACUUUCCUCGUUGCCACAUUUGUAUUGACACAAAUUAAGAACCUCUUAAGGACAAUAAAUAAAUAAGAAGUCAUUCAGGAAAAAAACAAAAAGAAGGCGACCAAUCAUACAACACUGAAG
rnacentral:lncRNA from 1 species